AUGCUCGCUUAGGCAGCACAUAUGCUAAAAUUGGAACAACAUAGAGAAGAUUAGCAUGGCCCGUGAGCAAGGAUGACAUGCAAAUUCAUGAAGCAUUCCAUAUUUUG
rnacentral:snRNA from 1 species